AGCGAACGCUGGCGGCAGGCCUAACACAUGCAAGUCGAACGGAUCCUUCGGGAUUAGUGGCGGACGGGUGAGUAACACGUGGGAACGUGCCCUUUGGUUCGGAACAACUCAGGGAAACUUGAGCUAAUACCGGAUGUGCCCUUCGGGGGAAAGAUUUAUCGCCAUUGGAUCGGCCCGCGUCUGAUUAGCUAGUUGGUGAGGUAACGGCCCACCAAGGCGACGAUCAGUAGCUGGUCUGAGAGGAUGAUCAUCCACACUGGGACUGAGACACGGCCCAGACUCCUACGGGAGGCAGCAGUGGGGAAUCUUGCGCAAUGGGCGAAAGCCUGACGCAGCCAUGCCGCGUGAAUGAUGAAGGUCUUAGGAUUGUAAAAUUCUUUCAGCGGGGACGAUAAUGACGGUACCCGCAGAAGAAGCUCCGGCUAGCUUCGUG
rnacentral:rRNA from 1 species